AUUGAACUCUGGCGGCAGGCCUAACACAUGCAAGUCGAACGAGUGGCGGACGGGUGAGUAAUGUCUGGGAAACUGCCUGAUGGAGGGGGAUAACUACUGGAAAAGGUAGCUAAUACCGCAUACCAUCGGAUGUGCCCAGAUGGGCUUGGCUAGUAGGUGGGGUAAUGGCUCACCUAGGAGACUAUCCCUCGCUGGUCUGCGAGGAUGACCAGCCACACUGGAACGGAGACAGGGUCCAGACUCCUACGGGAGGCAGCAGUGGGGAAGAUUGCACAAUGGGCGCAAGCCUGAUGCAGACAUGCCGCGUGUGUGAAGAAGGCCUUCGGGUUGUAAAGCACUUGCAGCGGGGAGGCGUUACCCGCAGAAGAAGCACCGGCUAACUCCGUGCCAGCAGACGCGGUAAUAC
rnacentral:rRNA from 1 species